GCCAGCCCGCUCAGAAACUUAAAGGAAGUUGACGGGGCCCGGCACAAGCGGUGGAGUAUGUGGUUAAUUCGAUGCAACGCGAAGAACCUUACCUGGUCUUGACAUCCCGGAGACCCUUAGGAAACUAGGGGUGCUUCCAUCUGGAAGAAUCUGGAGACAGGUGCUGCAUGGCUGUCGUCAGCUCGUGUCGUGAGAUGUUGGGUUAAGUCCCGCAACGAGCGCAACCCUUGCCUUUAGUUGCCAGCAGUUCGGCUGGGCACUCCAAAGGGACUGCCGGUGUUAAACCGGAGGAAGGUGGGGAUGACGUCAAGUCCUCAUGGCCUUUAUGACCAGGGCUACACACGUACUACAAUGGCCGAUACAAAGGGCAGCGACACUGCGAGGUGAAGCCAGUCCCGUAAAAUCGGUCUCAGUCCGGAUUGGAGUCUGCAACUCGACUCCAUGAAGUUGGAAUCGCUAGUAAUCGUGGAUCAGCAUGCCACGGUGAAUACGUUCCCGGGCCUU
rnacentral:rRNA from 1 species